AACGAACGCUGGCGGCAGGCCUAACACAUGCAAGUCGAGCGGGGACUUCGGUCCUAGCGGCGGACGGGUGAGUAACGCGUGGGAACGUGCCCUUUGCUUCGGAAUAGCCCCCUGGAAACGGGGGAGUAAUACCGGAUGUGCCCUUUGGGGGAAAGAUUUAUCGGCAAAGGAUCGGCCCGCGUUGGAUUAGGUAGUUGGUGGGGUAAUGGCCUACCAAGCCGACGAUCCAUAGCUGGUUUGAGAGGAUGAUCAGCCACACUGGGACUGAGACACGGCCCAGACUCCUACGGGAGGCAGCAGUGGGGAAUCUUAGACAAUGGGCGCAAGCCUGAUCUAGUCAUGCCGCGUGAGCGAUGAAGGCCUUAGGGUUGUAAAGCUCUUUCGUGGGGGAAGAUAAUGACGGUACCCCAAGAAUAAGCCCCGGCUAACUUCGUGCCAGCAGCCGCGGUAAU
rnacentral:rRNA from 1 species